AAAGAUGGCCUCUACUUGUAAGCUAUCGCUUUACGAUGGGUCUGCGUCUGAUUAGCUAGUUGGUGGGGUAACGGCCUACCAAGGCGACGAUCAGUAGCCGGUCUGAGAGGAUGAACGGCCACAUUGGAACUGAGACACGGUCCAGACUCCUACGGGAGGCAGCAGUGGGGAAUCUUCCGCAAUGGGCGCAAGCCUGACGGAGCAACGCCGCGUGAGUGAAGGAGGGUUUCGACUCGUAAAGCUCUGUUGUCGGGGACGAACGUGGAGAUGGUGAAUAACCAUUUCCAAUGACGGUACCUGACGAGGAAGCCACGGCUAACUACGUGCCAGCAGCCGCGGUAAUACGUAGGUGGCGAGCGUUGUCCGGAAUUAUUGGGCGUAGAGGGAGCGCAGGCGGGAGAUCAAGUCUAUCUUAAAAGUGCGGGGCUCGACCCCGUGAGGGGAUGGAAACUGGUCUUCUUGAGUGCAGGAGAGGAAAGCGGAAUUCCUAGUGUAGCGGUGAAAUGCGUAGAUAUUAGGAGGAACACCAGUGGCGAAGGCGGCUUUCUGGACUGUAACUGACGCUGAGGCCCGAAAGCGUGGGGAGCGAACAGGAUUAGAUACCCUGGUAGUCCACGCCGUAAACGAUGAAUGCUAGGUGUAGGAGGUAUCGACCCCUCCUGUGCCGGAGUUAACGCG
rnacentral:rRNA from 2 species